rnacentral:rRNA from 1 species
UACGGGGGGGGCAAGCGUUGUUCGGAAUUACUGGGCGUAAAGGGCGCGUAGGCGGCCCACUAAGUCGAACGUGAAAUCCCCGAGCUCAACUCGGGAACUGCGUCCGAUACUGGUGGGCUUGAAUCCGGGAGAGGGAUGCGGAAUUCCAGGUGUAGCGGUGAAAUGCGUAGAUAUCUGGAGGAACACCGGUGGCGAAGGCGGCAUCCUGGACCGGCAUUGACGCUGAGGCGCGAAAGCCAGGGGAGCAAACGGG